AUUGAACGCUGGCGGUAGGCUUAACACAUGCAAGUCGAGCGGUAACAGUCCUUCGGGAGCUGACGAGCGGCGGACGGGUGAGUAACGCGUAGAAAACUGCCCGGUAGUGGAGGAUAGCCCAGAGAAAUUUGGAUUAAUACUGCAUACGCUCUACGGAGGAAAGCGGGCUUCGGCUCGCGCUAUCGGAUGUGUCUGCGUGAGAUUAGCUAGUUGGUGAGGUAAUGGCUCACCAAGGCGACGAUCUCUAGCUGGUCUGAGAGGAUGAUCAGCCACACUGGGACUGAGACACGGCCCAGACUCCUACGGGAGGCAGCAGGUGGGGAAUAUUGCACAAGUAGGGGGAAACCCUAGAUGCAGCCAUACCGCGUGUGUGAAGAA
rnacentral:rRNA from 1 species